rnacentral:rRNA from 1 species
UACGUAGGGUGCGAGCGUUAAUCGGAAUUACUGGGCGUAAAGUGUGCGCAGGCGGCCGCGCAAGUCGAGUGUGAAAUCCCCGAGCUUAACUUGGGAAUUGCGCUCGAAACUACGUGGCUGGAGUGUGGCAGAGGAAGGUGGAAUUCCACGUGUAGCGGUGAAAUGCGUAGAGAUGUGGAGGAACACCGAUGGCGAAGGCAGCCUCCUGGGCCAAUACUGACGCUCAUGCACGAAAGCGUGGGGAGCAAACAGG